CAGCCCUUCCAGUGGUUUGGCCUUCUUCACUGUCAGCACGGAUUAAGAUGCAUGAAGUCACUAUAGCAAGAAUGGAAGCUAUGGAGGACAAGCAAUUGAGA